rnacentral:rRNA from 1 species
CUUGCUCCCUGAUGUUAGCGGCGGACGGGUGAGUAACACGUGGGUAACCUGCCUGUAAGACUGGGAUAACUCCGGGAAACCGGGGCUAAUACCGGAUGGUUGUUUGAACCGCAUGGUUCAGACAUAAAAGGUGGCUUCGGCUACCACUUACAGAUGGACCCGCGGCGCAUUAGCUAGUUGGUGAGGUAACGGCUCACCAAGGCAACGAUGCGUAGCCGACCUGAGAGGGUGAUCGGCCACACUGGGACUGAGACACGGCCCAGACUCCUACGGGAGGCAGCAGUAGGGAAUCUUCCGCAAUGGACGAAAGUCUGACGGAGCAACGCCGCGUGAGUGAUGAAGGUUUUCGGAUCGUAAAGCUCUGUUGUUAGGGAAGAACAAGUGCCGUUCAAAUAGGGCGGCACCUUGACGGUACCUAACCAGAAAGCCACGGCUAACUACGUGCCAGCAGCCGCGGUAAUACGUAGGUGGCAAGCGUUGUCCGGAAUUAUUGGGCGUAAAGGGCUCGCAGGCGGUUUCUUAAGUCUGAUGUGAAAGCCCCCGGCUCAACCGGGGAGGGUCAUUGGAAACUGGGGAACUUGAGUGCAGAAGAGGAGAGUGGAAUUCCACGUGUAGCGGUG